GUAAUGAUCUGUAUUUAUGGCUAGUCUACUUUCUAGAAGACGUCUGAUGUAAUGAAGAACCCAUUAAAUAUGUCCAAGUAUCAAGAAAAUUUCAAGUGAAGCUAGGUGCAUAGAGAUGGAUAUAGAAGCUCUUCUUUAAAUACAACCCAACUGCAAAACCUAAUAGUGCCGGAUGACCCUGAUAACUUCCUUGACUGCUGCAAAUGGUCCGAUGUCUACUGCAAUAACUCCACAGGUCGAAUUCACAGGCUUGAUUUUGAUGAAUUUAUGUCUGGUUGUGAAGACAGUGAUAGGUUUUUGAUGCAGCGGUUCCAUUUAUGCCCUUCACUGCUUGUCCUGGAGGACUUGCUCUACCUACUUACCUAGACCUCAGUGAGAUAUCCGUCGAUCACUCCUCAGCUUGGCGUAUCCCUGUCUUCCUAGGGUCCUUCUCCCACUUAAGUUUUCUGAAGAAACUUCGUCGGGAAAUGUGGAUGAGGUUAGAGACAUGUGGGUCGCGUAUUUGCUCAAGCAAGAAGCGGAUGAAGAAAACCAAGUUGAUGGUAUGAAAAUAACUCCAUGAG